GGGACGUGUGGCGCACGGGUCGGAGGCAGCCGUUCGUUUUGUCUCGCGUACUUCGGAGUUCCCUCGAUCGGGGCCGCCCGCGGCGGAUGCCAGGCCCAUUCGGUGCGGACGACGAACGACGGCUUUCGAUCCGAGAGUCGGGUUGCUUGGGAACGCAGCCCAAAUCGGGUGGUAAGCUCCAUCCAAGGCUAAAUACCGGGACGAGUCCGAUAGUCGACAAGUACCGUGAGGGAAAGUUGAAAAGAACUUUGGAGAGAGAGUUCAAGAGAACGUGAAACCGCCCAGGGGUAAACGGGUGGGACCGUUCACCGCGAUCGUGGGGGGACUCAGUCCGGUGCUUCGCAAAGAUGCCCAAACUCGAUUUGUAUCUGAGGCCGAGUGGUCGCCGAUUCUUCGGAUGCGCUUUUGCGCUCGUGUCGCUGACGGAGUG
rnacentral:rRNA from 1 species